AUGGACAGGUCAUAAACCAUUGCCAAGGCUUCAGUUAUAACUGACCUCAACCGCAGUGUGUGCUCAGCAUUAAUUAUUCUGGAGGAAGUCCUAGUUAAGAUAGAAACUUACCUGACAUCAGCAAUUCUCCAGACUUGAGCCAUGAAGCACCAAAGAAGAAAGAAACACCUUGAACCCUCACUGUUAGAACAAGCUGAACAGAGAUUCAGAGGUUAAGUUACUAAAUGAGGAGAAGCCAUAUGGAAAGAGACUUUGAAGAAUAAGAGAGCAUUUUGGACAUUUCAACCACAGACUCCCAGCUGAACAUUGUUGAGUCUUCUAAGAAUUACAAGCAAAAAUAGCUGAAGCAUCUCAAGCUGAACCCAAC